rnacentral:rRNA from 1 species
AUUGAGCGCUGGCGGCAUGCCUUACACAUGCAAGUCGAACGGCAGCGCGGGAGCAAUCCUGGCGGCGAGUGGCGAACGGGUGAGUAAUACAUCGGAACGUGCCCAAUCGUGGGGGAUAACGCAGCGAAAGCUGUGCUAAUACCGCAUACGAUCCACGGAUGUAAGCAGGGGACCGCAAGGCCUUGCGCGAACGGAGCGGCCGAUGGCAGAUUAGGUAGUUGGUGGGAUAAAAGCUUACCAAGCCGACGAUCUGUAGCUGGUCUGAGAGGACGACCAGCCACACUGGGACUGAGACACGGCCCAGACUCCUACGGGAGGCAGCAGUGGGGAAUUUUGGACAAUGGGCGCAAGCCUGAUCCAGCCAUGCCGCGUGCAGGAUGAAGGCCUUCGGGUUGUAAACUGCUUUUGUACGGAACGAAAAGACUCUUUCUAAUAAAGAGGGUCCAUGACGGUACCGUAAGAAUAAGCACCGGCUAACUACGUGCCAGCCGCCGCCGUAAAAC